CGGAAGCCCAGAGAAAUCAAGGUUCCUCUGCUAAUACUUUGGUUGUGUCUUGCUUUUUGAAAGUGUUUCAACAAUGGGUAUGUAGAUGAGCACACGCAUGGCUGUGCUGGACCUUUGCCUCCUUUCCCUUCUCUUCUCGUUGCCUGGGAGGCUGGCCUUCAGUGGACCACACCUGCAGCAGAUCUUCUGUGCCCGCCAACUCCAGCUGGCUGCCAUGUUGUAAGGAAGCCUCCACACAUACCCUCCAGGGCAACUUCCAGCCAACAGCUAGUAACUAUCUGAAGCUCUCAGUCCAAUGUCCCGUGAGGAGCGGAAUCCGGCUGCAACCACGGAGUGAGCUUGGAAAUGGAUUUCUUCCCAGUCGAGCCUUCAGAUGACUGCAGCCCCCUCAGCACCUUGAUUGCACCUGUGAGACAUCUUGAGCCAGAGGACUCAGGAAUCCAGAGGUUUCGGGGUAAUCCAUGAAGCACUGGAAAGAACCUGUCAUUUCCCAGAAGAUCAUGAAGAUUAGUUAACAUUACUACCGUAUGUCUCAAACUGCAACACACGUGCUCAUGUGUGUCAGAGGUUAUUUGAAGCUCCCAGGGUAUUUUUCUGGAGCACUUGACUCAACUCUUUGGAAUAAAUGCUUAAUAACGUUUUUACUUAAAAAAUCAACUGAAAAGUACUUAUAGAAAAGUACACAGAUCACAAAUGUACACAUCACUGAGUUUUCAAAAACUGAACACACCCUUGUAACAGAGAACUCAGAUCGAGAAAUAGUACCUACUCCCUCUAAGGUCACCAUUACCCUGCCUCCUAACACUGGAGGUUAGUCUAGUCUUGCCUGUGUUUGUUCUUUAAAUGAAAGAAAGCAUAUGCGAUGUACUCUUUUGUGUCUAGGUCUUUCACUCGACAUUGAUUGUGGGAUUCAUCCAUGUUUUGGAUGUAGUUGUAGUUUGCUCAUCCUUAAUGUACAGUAUUCCAUUGUGUGACUGUCACACACUUCAUUUAUCUGCUCUGGAGUGGAUGUACAUAUGGGUAUUCUCUAGGUUUUGGCUCUGAUAUAGUGCUGCUAAGAACAUUACAAACCAUAUUCUUUGGUGAAUAUAUGUAUGCAUUUCUACUGGGUAUCUAUAUCUAGGAGUGAAAAUGCUGAGUGAUAGGGUACACAUAUGU